rnacentral:pre_miRNA from 1 species
UGGGAGUACUAAUGUAAUGGAAGUACUUAUGUAAUGGAAGUGAUGUAAUGGAAUUAAUUUACAUAAGUACUCCCAUUACAUAAGUACUUCCAUUACAUAAGUACUUC